UGAAACUAUUUUGGAAGCGGCAUUCUAGUGAAACCCGUUUUGACAACGGCUAAAUCUCAAUUUUCUCCUCUAUUCUCUCCCCGUGGUGCUCCCGGCCCGGCCGGCCUCUCAGGCGAGCCGCCCCUCGCCGCCGGCAACGAGCUUCGCCGCCUCGCGCGUGGCGGCCUCCGCUGCGCCGCGAGGGUCCUUAUCCUCCUUUAUGCCUCUGGUUAAGGAAUCUGGCUAUUACUCUGCAGCCUGAAAGACUUUCCUGCCAAUAUAUUUUGAGCUGGGAGAAACCCUUCCUAAGGUGUUCCAUUGGGUGAUGGCAGUAGAAAGUGUGGCCAGAUUGAUGAUGAUUUCAAGAGCAUCCGUCUCACGUCCAUUGCUUCUAAGCGGAAGCUAGCAGUAGAAGAGCAAACCGUUGCUGAAAUUGUAAUUGUUGAUGAGAGCUUAUGUUCUAGAGGCAGCUGUUUCCCACUUUAUCUUAUUAUCUAUAUCAUGUACUGGCAAGAUCAAGAAGUGCAAUCACAUAUGACUUGCAGGGGAGAUUCUGCAAUGAUCUUAUGCCUUCCCCCAUGAGUAUGCAUGGAAGCCAUUUGGCAGUAUACAAUGGAAGAUAAUGUUUCUUCUGAUGCUAGAUAUCAGCUUACGAAACAGAUAUUUCAAUAGUGAUUGACAGCUUGGUAAGGAUUCAUCAUUUUAAAACUGCAGUGGAGUUCCUUAUCUCAGGAGUCAAGAGAACUUCAGGAUUAGAAACAAGUGUUCUUUGACACAGAUUUACAAGUCAGCUGACUGAUCUUGCCAAUGUGAAUCCUUGCGACAUUCUAUAUCAGUUUUUCUUGGUCUUCUCAGGAGUCAGGAGAACUACAGGAUUAGAAACAUGUGUUCUCUCACACACAGAGUCACAGUAAACUGACUGAUCUUACAAUGUGAAACCUAACGACAUUCUGCAUCAGUUUUUGAUGGUGCUGAUUGUAGAUUGCUGAUGGCCAAGGGGAUUUAGUUGAGUGCCAGGCCAUGCAACACAACACAUUCAAGCCAUUUCUCUGUCCUAGUUUUUUGAUAUUCAGCAUUCAGCUCAUUUAUCUUUCUUAGCCUGUUGACAAAUUUUCAGUAGUACUACAAUAUAUACCUGUGGGAAUCCCUAGACCGAACAAACAAGUUAUAUAUGCAGUAAGCUGGUCACCACUCUGGAGUUCUCGAAGAAACAUAUGUUAUAAUAGCACUCCUAGCAGUCAUGUUUGUGGAUUCUAGAAUAAGAACUUCUUCCUCAUAUUUAAUUAGUGUUUCUAAAGCAGAUAAACUUGAAGCAAAUCCGUGCUACUAUGUUGAAAAGUUGCUUCCGUCCAUGGCAAGAGGACAGUUUGAAAGUGCCAAUAGAGGAGAUACUUUCAACUGUUUCUACCAGAUCAUGAAUCUUAAAAGUAUGGUGGGUCUUUUUUUAACUGGUUGAAUUCUACCAGUGAAUAUCUUCAGCAAAUUGCAAGAGUACCUUGAAUAGGUGAUUAGGAUAUGCCAAUUUUCUUUAUGAUGAAAUGAAGACUGGAAGCUUUUUCAGAGAGAGCUUGUUCAGGUUUUGAAAGCCUGCAGGAUCCACAAUUCCACAUGCAACUUUUAUAGCAUAUUUUUAUAUGAAAAGUAUAAACUAUCUGGCGCAUAUUUCUUGUGUCUACAUGAGUCAAAUAAAAACGGUAUGAUUUUCAUUUUCCUUCACUCCAUUGUUCAAUUUAUAUGAAAUCUAUUAGAGUUGUGCCAUAUAGCUUUAGCUCUGUUGGUUCUGUGCUUGCUUCAUGCAAAUAAUUUUGAAUGAUAUGUUACCAUAUUUCGAAGUGGCUCUACACUCUUUUUAAACAAAAUGACAUGGAUAUUGGUUGCCAAUGUUCUGUUGCAAAUGGAACCGGGACUAGCUCACUCGGUGGGAGCCUAUGAGGUGUGGAGGCAACGGCCUACCCCCCCCCCCCCCCCCCAACCCAGGUUUGGGACCUCUUUAGCUCGAAAUUUGGGUGUUUAUUUCCUCCUUAAAAGACUAUACGCCCUCCUAUCUCGCUUAUAUAAUAGUUGCGCAUAAAUCAACUCUUUUGCCCUGGAAAUUGCUCUUUUCCUGUGUGGCAUGGAAUAGCUUAUCUUCCUUACUUUAUUAUCUCUAUUUGCAUUUUACAAUACUUUGUGCUACUUUUUGUUUUUUUCCAGAAUAUAGGAAAUUAAUUAUAUUGCCACUUGCCAACCUGUUCUAAGCUAUUACUAUUUGAGUCUUUGCCGGGAACAGCAAUAAUUAUCUUGUUUCCACCAGUCUGGCUAGAUUUCUCCUUUACUUCCCUUCACUGAAUUGCAAUAAUAUAGUUUUAUUUUCACUUUUGCAAAUUUAAUUAUAUGGGUUAAACAUUCAAACUUGUUGUUUGGAUGUUCUUGGAUAUGUACAGAACAAAACAACGAAAGAUGUGGUGUAGCUUGGUUAAAUUUGAUCAUUGGGUGGUUAAAUUUUUUUUAUAGGAAUUGUUUAUUUGGAUAAAUUGAAUUUACUUGAGAACUAAUUGGGCUACAUUUAAACUGUGGUUGACAGACAAUAUGCACUUCUAUUACUUUGCCAUUUGUUCAUUACUUCAACAAUAAAAAUCUGAAAGGAAAUGCAUAUCAGCAUUGCCUCUGGUCUAUGUGAUACAUCAUAGUGCCUGCUGCACACCUGUGUUCUUGUCUGUCAAUAGUUGAACCUUGCAGUCACUGAUUGUUCAUAUGAGUUUACACAGUUAAAUCUGUUAGUUAAAUUGACCAGCUGGUCAUUGUAUCGCUUUACUCAAUUACCAUGCUUCUGAAACACAUGCAUCGGGUGACUGACAACUACAUUGGGGUUAACAACAUGCAAAUGAAAUGAUUUAGACUACUUCUUGGCCACAGGGUCAUUUAUAUUGAGAAACUCGCUUCUCUGCAAUGACUUGGGUAGCAAUAUACUAAAUAUGUCUCCAAAUGGUUGGUCUUCAUAGUUUUGAGGAGUUGAAGUGAUGAAACUCAAAACUGCAGCUAUCCAAGUAAACAAUUUUUGGAAACAAGCUGACUUGGCCUUUCUUUUUUUUUUUUUUUGUUGCUGUUGCUGGUUUGUAAUGCUUGACUUGAAAAAGUGAAAGCAAACUAGACUUGUAUAGUUUUAUACAUUUUAUUAUUUUUACAAUUUUUUCUGUUUGAUGUUCAGCCCUUGAGUUUUAAACUUAGUCAUUAAUAUAUUAUAUACUUUACGAUCAAAAUCUGGCAAAAGUAUAAUGUUAUCAUUGGCAAUUUACCCACCGGUAUCACUUCCAUGUGUUCAAUCCAGUAUAUCAGUCAAAGUUACUAAAGUUUGUCUGCACAUAUACCCCACAAUAUAAAAGUGGGGAUUAAUAAGGUAGUGUAAAUUGUAAAAGACGACUAUGCAUAUCUUUGACUUUUAUGUAACUGAUUGUUAAAAAUUAGACUUUUUACAGAUUUGGUUGCUAAAUGAACCAAGAUAAUGACAUGCCAAGCAUGUAAUCAUUUUGAAUGGACGUAAGUACAUCAAAAUGUAACAACUAACUAGGACCACCAGGCCAUGGUACUAUGCCCUCAGAGGGGCAAGGGUUUGUCAUGCAGUAGCAGUUAUACUUGCCAACGCUUUGCAUUUAGGGUCACUGGCUGGUCUACUGCUAGUUGUUUACAGAGGCCAAAAAAGGGGUAGUUGUUUACAGAAAUUGUUGUGUCAGACUUGAUUCCUAAAUCUUUUGCUACAAGAUUGACUGGAUAAAGUCUAGAGUCUAGAGAGUAUAUUUACACAUGGAAGCCAAGCAGGCCACCUGUUCUGUACAUUGUGAAUCCAUAUUUCAUUGACAUCUUCCCAGAUUUUGAUAGACUAGUGGGUAAUUCUUUCAUGCUGUAUCUCUUUUACAUAUUUUUUAGUAGAAUUGUAGUUUCUUCACUAAAUAGAUAUCUUAACCAACUAAUCUACCCAUGCUUUGAAGAAUAAUUACAAAAGCUCACCAGAUGGUAACUUCUUUACUAGAUUUUAAAGAACGGAAAGCCCCCUGGAAUUGGAAUGUUGCUCAUUUGAAAUGCUUAUUUAUUACUGAUACAAGUUAUGAUAUGUUGUUUUCAGCGCAUGUUUGUGUACUUGAGUGUCUUUCUCAUUAGUCAGAAGUUGAAACAAGCCAGUUUUCCUUUUCUUUUUGGCUCAUUGCUAAUUUGCUACACUUCUGUCGUCCACAGCCACUUGACAAUGACAUUAAUGGAUUAAUUGGCAUGUACAUGGACCAUGUGUUGAUCUAUUUUAGGUAGAUCUGGCGGAUGACAGUGUCAAGAGCGCAGCGUAACUUGGUGCUAUAUGCUUUACAAUCUUAAUUAAGAUGACAUCACCAGAUUGAUUCGAAUGAGAUUGAAGCAAAGGGCAGAGUUAAUGUUGUGGGGACCGAUACAGCUAUCCUACUGGACAUAUUCAAUGCAUGCUUUUGCAACAUGGGAGGUCCUUAACCAGCUACUGUGGCACCACAAGGAAUUGGUGUAUUUCCUAUUAAUAAACUAGGUGGUUCCCUUGAUGAAAGUGAGAAGACAGAACAGAACCAGAACAUUGGAAGCUUUCACCAGUAUGACUAUAAUGACGGGGACGUCUUGUACAUACAAAUGACGAGGCUACCUUCACCACCGUGCAGCAGCCCAUGUGACGGCGAGCCCGGGCCGCUCCUGCCCAGCAGCUCCUCGAUCAUCUGCAGCGCGAUCCUCUCCUCGUCGUCCAUUGCCGGAGGUGGUGGCGACGGCGAG